CUUGGAUUUAGAAUUUGACUAGGAAAUAAGCCCGCACGUUGUUGCGGGAACCAACUGUUUCAGGUGUAGCUGCAUGAAGAAGACAUAUUUCAAGCGUAACUGCAUGAAUAAGACACAAAGUCAGAAUUUAAUUGUCUUUCUAUACCAUGGAGUGGUGCCAAAAGAUUAUUUUAUGGAGUUAUUGAUGAAAGAUCUGGAAAAUACUCAGUGGUGUUUUUUGCAACAGGCGUGCAGCAGCCAAAAGUAAGUUCCUUGAUGGGUUUCGUUCCUUCAUGUUCUGUAUUUCCAAUUGCCUUAAGCUACGGCGGGAUGGAUGAUGAUUACAACACGUUUAAGUUGAUGUCUUCUCAUAUUCGUGUAGAAGAAUAAUAUUUGCAACAUCGUUUGUCAUUCUUGAAGAAAGAGGAAAAUAUUAGUUUUAAAAAAGGGAAAAUUUCUAGUGCUCAGAGUUAUAUGUUGAUGGGAACCACUGAUCCAACAGGGACUCUAGAAAAGAAUAAAGUUUGUGUUCUUCUGUAUGUACAAUUUCUGCCAUUUUUUUAAUCCCUCCUGUUACACAAUUAGUAGGAUGAAACUGAAUGUUCAAGUA